AAAGGGAGACCUAAUUCAGGUAAGAGACGAAAAAAAAGUAGUCGCUACCAAGAAUCAAUCCCAAAAGGUCGGAGCGAGGCGAAAUUGGCUUUCAAACUAGGUUCUGGGUUCAAACAAGACCUGAAUCAGGAACAAGGGCUAUUAGCUCAGGUGGUUAGAGCGCACCCCUGAUAAGGGUGAGGUCCCUGGUUCGAGUCCAGGAUGGCCCACCUGCACAGGUGGCAAAAACAAGAGAAGCUCCGAAUCAGCACCUUAUCUUACUGACAUAGUAAGAGAGAAUGCUGGCUCUGAGUAAAGAGUCCAGAGGAACCUUGAAAACUGCAUAGAGCUAGGUGAAAAAGCCAAAAAAGAAGACCGCAAG
rnacentral:tRNA from 1 species